rnacentral:rRNA from 1 species
CAAUAGCGUAUAUUAAAGUUGUUGCGGUUAAAAAGCUCGUAGUUGGAUUUCUGCUGAGAACGACCGGUCCGCCCUUUGGGUGUGUAUCUGGCUCUUUCUUGGCAUCUUCUUGGUGAACGUUGCUGCACUUGACUGUGUGGAGCGCUACCCAGGACUUUUACUUUGAGGAAAUUAGAGUGUUUCAAGCAGGCAUACGCCUUGAAUACAUUAGCAUGGAAUAAUAAGAUAGGACCUCGGUUCUAUUUUGUUGGUUUCUAGAGCUGAGGUAAUGAUUAAUAGGGAUAGUUGGGGGCAUUCGUAUUUAACUGUCGGAGGUGAAAUUCUUGGAUUUGUUAAAGACGGACUACUGCGAAAGCAUUUGCCAAGGAUGUUUUCAUUGA